rnacentral:rRNA from 1 species
AAUGAACGCUGGCGGCGUGCCUUACACAUGCAAGUCGAGCGAGGCCGGGUAGCAAUACCCGAGUCGAGCGGCGCACGGGUGAGUAACGCGUGGAUAACCUGCCUGUGGGUGGGGGAUAACCCGGGGAAACUCGGGCUAAUACCGCAUGACACCGCGAGGUCAAAGGGGGCCGCAAGGCUCUCGCCUGCAGAGGGGUCCGCGUCCGAUUAGCUAGUUGGCAGGGUAAAGGCCUACCAAGGCGACGAUCGGUAGCCGGCCUGAGAGGGUGAUCGGCCACACUGGAACUGAGACACGGUCCAGACUCCUACGGGAGGCAGCAGUGGGGAAUAUUGCACAAUGGGGGAAACCUUGAUGCAGCAACGCCGCGUGAGUGAUGAAGGCCUUCGGGUCGUAAAGCUCUUUGAUCAGGGACGAUAAUGACGGUACCUGAAAAACAAGCCACGGCUAACUACGUGCCAGCCGCCGCAGUAAAAC